rfam:Schistosoma haematobium scaffold119_22, whole genome shotgun sequence.
AUCUAUUUGACGAGUCCCGAAUAGGACGAAUCGUGAGUCCUGGAU